CCCUUAGAUGUUCUGGGCCGCACGCGCGCUACACUGUUCGACGCAGCGAGUCUUAACCUUGACCGAAAGGUUUGGGUAAUCUUCAGCAAAGUCGAACGUGAUGGGGAUCGAUCAUUGCAAUUAUUGAUCGUGAACGAGGAAUUCCUAGUAGGUGCAAGUCAUCAGCUUGCGCUGAUUACGUCCCUGCCCUUUGUACACACCGCCCGUCGCUACUACCGAUUGAAUGGUUUAGUGAGAUCUCUGGAUUGACGCUGGCUAGGGGGCGACCCUUGGCCAGACUGUUGAGAAACUGCUCAAACUUGAUCAUUUAGAGGAAGUAAAAGUCGUAACA
rnacentral:rRNA from 1 species